GCACCUGUGGGGUAAUGGUAGCCUUAGAGCCUUCCAAGCUCUUGGUCCGGGUUCAAAUCCCGGCGGGUGCA
rnacentral:tRNA from 1 species